GCCUCCGGCGCAUAACGGUUUUGCACCUGCCUUGAGAGCAGGGCCCUUUGGGCAACCCGGUUCGACUCCGGGCGGGGGCG
rnacentral:tRNA from 1 species